CUUGACAUCCAGCGAACUUUCCAGAGAUGGAUUGGUGCCUUCGGGAACGCUGAGACAGGUGCUGCAUGGCUGUCGUCAGCUCGUGUUGUGAAAUGUUGGGUUAAGUCCCGNAACGAGCGCAACCCUUAUCCUUUGUUGCCAGCGAUUCGGUCGGGAACUCAAAGGAGACUGCCGGUGAUAAACCGGAGGAAGGUGGGGAUGACGUCAAGUCAUCAUGGCCCUUACGAGUAGGGCUACACACGUGCUACAAUGGCGCAUACAAAGAGAAGCGACCUCGCGAGAGCAAGCGGACCUCAUAAAGUGCGUCGUAGUCCGGAUCGGAGUCUGCAACUCGACUCCGUGAAGUCGGAAUCGCUAGUAAUCGUGGAUCAGAAUGCCACGGUGAAUACGUUCCCGGGCCUUGUACACACCGCCCGUCACACCAUGGGAGUGGGUUGCAAAAGAAGUAGGUAGCUUAACCUUCGGGAGGGCGCUUACCACUUUGUGAUUCAUGACUGGGGCGAAGUCGUAACAAGGUAAGCGUAGCGAG
rnacentral:rRNA from 1 species